CCAUCACUAGUAAUAAAUAAAGGUCACUGUACCUGUAACAACUUGAAGAGUAAUAUGACUGAGUGAACAGAGUCCUGGACUGUCUGUAGUCUUCAUACAGCAAAUAACUAUCAGGGCUCGGAGUGGACUAUUCCAGUAAUGAUGUCGUACCAACAAAAUAUUUAUACAGUGAGCUGAAAGGAGGCCGUUUCUGAUGUCUUUGUAUACUGACAUCAUCUUAGACUCCAGCUUUCUGAGUUUUCCUACGUCUAAAACAUUCAGUCAUCAUUGGGAGGAGAAACAUGUAUUCCUACCUGAGACACACUGAAUGAAACCCCAAACCAAAAAUCCAGCUUCUGCCAAGAUCAUGACUGUCAGAUUUCAGCUUUUAGUCAGAAAGUUAAGCGAAUUGUUCUUCACACAGGAAAAGCUUAAAAACCCGAACUGAUACGUAUUAAAGUCAGUUCAGCCAAAUAUAAACUGCAGCUUUAACACCAUCCAACUUCCUCCUGCAUGGUGUUUUUUUUAGAAAGAGCAGACUUCUAGUAAAGAACUAAGUAAUGAAAAAGCUUAAAUUUAACUUGAGGAUUUUUUUUUAACAGCAUAAAUUUCUCUCCAUUUGCCUGACUGAGGCUGGAGAAGUGUAAAGCUUAGUGUGUUUCUGUCUUUUAUAUAAAUAGUUCCUGUCAAGCAAGGUAAGAAACAGAUGCUUUAUUUGCUUUGAGAACAUCAGUAAUCAGUAGUAUUGUUUUCAUACAUACACA